GAUGAACGCUGGCGGCGUGCCUAAUACAUGCAAGUCGAGCGAACAGACGAGGAGCUUGCUCCUCUGACGUUAGCGGCGGACGGGAGAGUAACACGUGGAUAACCUACCUAUAAGACUGGGAUAACUUCGGGAAACCGGAGCUAAUACCGGAUAAUAUAUUGAACCGCAUGGUUCAAUAGUGAAAGACGGUUUUGCUGUCACUUAUAGAUGGAUCCGCGCCGCAUUAGCUAGUUGGUAAGGUAACGGCUUACCAAGGCAACGAUGCGUAGCCGACCUGAGAGGGUGAUCGGCCACACUGGAGCUGAGACACGGUCCAGACUCCUACGGGAGGCAGCAGUAGGGAAUCUUCCGCAAUGGGCGAAAGCCUGACGGAGCAACGCCGCGUGAGUGAUGAAGGUCUUCGGAUCGUAAAACUCUGUUAUUAGGGAAGAACAAAUGUGUAAGUAACUAUGCACGUCUUGACGGUACCUAAUCAGAAAGCCACGGCUAACUACGUG
rnacentral:rRNA from 1 species